AACGAACGCUGGCGGCAUGCCUAACACAUGCAAGUCGAACGAGACCUUCGGGUCUAGUGGCGCACGGGUGCGUAACGCGUGGGAACCUGCCCUUAGGUUCGGAAUAACUCCCCGAAAGGGGUGCUAAUACCGGAUAAUGUCUUCGGACCAAAGAUUUAUCGCCUUUGGAUGGGCCCGCGUUGGAUUAGCUAGUUGGUAGGGUAAAAGCCUACCAAGGCGACGAUCCAUAGCUGGUCUGAGAGGAUGAUCAGCCGCACUGGGACUGAGACACGGCCCAGACUCCUACGGGAGGCAGCAGUGGGGAAUAUUGGACAAUGGGCGAAAGCAUGAUCCAGCAAUGCCGCGUGAGUGAUGAAGGCCUUAGGGUUGUAAAGCUCUUUUACCCGGGAUGAUAAUGACAGUACCGGGAGAAUAAGCUCCGGCUAACUCCGUG
rnacentral:rRNA from 1 species